rnacentral:ncRNA from 1 species
UUGAGCGCAGUGCAGCGAAAGUCGCAUGCUGCGUUCUUCGGGGGCUGCGUUUCCGAGAGGGAACGUGGCUACCCUCU